UAAUUGAAGAGUUUGAUCAUGGCUCAGAUUGAACGCUGGCGGCAGGCCUAACACAUGCAAGUCGAGCGGUAACAGGGGAAGCUUGCUUCUCGCUGACGAGCGGCGGACGGGUGAGUAAUGUAUGGGGAUCUGCCCGAUAGAGGGGGAUAACUACUGGAAACGGUAGCUAAUACCGCAUAAUCUCUCAGGAGCAAAGCAGGGGAACUUCGGUCCUUGCGCUAUCGGAUGAACCCAUAUGGGAUUAGCUAGUAGGUGAGGUAAUGGCUCACCU
rnacentral:rRNA from 1 species